UGCAAGUCGAGCGAACAGAUAAGGAGCUUGCUCCUUUGACGUUAGCGGCGGACGGGUGAGUAACACGUGGGUAACCUACCUAUAAGACUGGGAUAACUUCGGGAAACCGGAGCUAAUACCGGAUAACAUUUGGAACCGCAUGGUUCUAAAGUGAAAGAUGGUUUUGCUAUCACUUAUAGAUGGACCCGCGCCGUAUUAGCUAGUUGGUAAGGUAACGGCUUACCAAGGCAACGAUACGUAGCCGACCUGAGAGGGUGAUCGGCCACACUGGAACUGAGACACGGUCCAGACUCCUACGGGAGGCAGCAGUAGGGAAUCUUCCGCAAUGGGCGAAAGCCUGACGGAGCAACGCCGCGUGAGUGAUGAAGGGUUUCGGCUCGUAAAACUCUGUUAUUAGGGAAGAACAAAUGUGUAAGUAACUGUGCACAUCUUGACGGUACCUAAUCAGAAAGCCACGGCUAACUACGUGCCAGCAGCCGCGGUAAUACGUAGGUGGCAAGCGUUAUCCGGAAUUAUUGGGCGUAAAGCGCGCGUAGGCGGUUUCUUAAGUCUGAUGUGAAAGCCCACGGCUCAACCGUGGAGGGUCAUUGGAAACUGGGAAACUUGAGUGCAGAAGAGGAAAGUGGAAUUCCAUGUGUAGCGGUGAAAUGCGCAGAGAUAUGGAGGAACACCAGUGGCGAAGGCGACUUUCUGGUCUGUAACUGACGCUGAUGUGCGAAAGCGUGGGGAUCAAACAGGAUUAGAUACCCUGGUAGUCCACGCCGUAAACGAUGAGUGCUAAGUGUUAGGGGGUUUCCGCCCCUUAGUGCUGCAGCUAACGCAUUAAGCACUCCGCCUGGGGAGUACGACCGCAAGGUUGAAACUCAAAGGAAUUGACGGGGACCCGCACAAGCGGUGGAGCAUGUGGUUUAAUUCGAAGCAACGCGAAGAACCUUACCAAAUCUUGACAUCCUUUGAAAACUCUAGAGAUAGAGCCUUCCCCUUCGGGGGACAAAGUGACAGGUGGUGCAUGGUUGUCGUCAGCUCGUGUCGUGAGAUGUUGGGUUAAGUCCCGCAACGAGCGCAACCCUUAAGCUUAGUUGCCAUCAUUAAGUUGGGCACUCUAGGUUGACUGCCGGUGACAAACCGGAGGAAGGUGGGGAUGACGUCAAAUCAUCAUGCCCCUUAUGAUUUGGGCUACACACGUGCUACAAUGGACAAUACAAAGGGCAGCUAAACCGCGAGGUCAUGCAAAUCCCAUAAAGUUGUUCUCAGUUCGGAUUGUAGUCUGCAACUCGACUACAUGAAGCUGGAAUCGCUAGUAAUCGUAGAUCAGCAUGCUACGGUGAAUACGUUCCCGGGUCUUGUACACACCGCCCGUCACACCACGAGAGUUUGUAACACCCGAAGCCGGUGGAGUAACCAUUUAUGGAGCUAGCCGUCGA
rnacentral:rRNA from 1 species